rnacentral:rRNA from 1 species
UACGGGGGGGGCAAGCGUUGUUCGGAAUUACUGGGCGUAAAGGGCUCGUAGGCGGCCAACUAAGUCAGACGUGAAAUCCCUCGGCUUAACCGGGGAACUGCGUCUGAUACUGGCUGGCUAGAGUACCGGAGAGGGAAGCGGAAUUCCUGGUGUAGCGGUGAAAUGCGUAGAUACCAGGAGGAACACCGGUGGCGAAGGCGGCUUCCUGGCCGAGUACUGACACUCAUGCACGAAAGCGUGGGGAGCAAACGGG